UACGUAGGGUGCAAGCGUUGUCCGGAAUUAUUGGGCGUAAAGGGCUCGUAGGCGGUUCGUCACGUCGGGAGUGAAAACUCGGAGCUUAACCCCGAGCCUGCUUCCGAUACGGGCAGACUAGAGGUAGGCAGGGGAGAGCGGAACUCCUGGUGUAGCGGUGGAAUGCGCAGAUAUCAGGAAGAACACCGGUGGCGAAGGCGGCUCUCUGGGCCUUACCUGACGCUGAGGAGCGAAAGCGUGGGUAGCGAACAGG
rnacentral:rRNA from 1 species